UACGGGGGGAGCAAGCGUUGUUCGGAUUUACUGGGCGUAAAGGGCGCGUAGGCGGUCGUGACAAGUCACUUGUGAAAUCUCCGGGCUUAACUCGGAACGGUCAAGUGAUACUGUCGGACUAGAGUACAGAAGGGGCAACUGGAAUUCUCGGUGUAGCGGUGAAAUGCGUAGAUAUCAGGAGGAAUACCGAUGGCGAAGGCAGGUCUCUGGGCUAUAACUGACGCUCAUGCACGAAAGCGUGGGGGAGCAAACAGG
rnacentral:rRNA from 1 species